UUGUGCAGGCCUGCUCAAUAGGAACUAGAACCCAUUUGAUCUUGGAAGCUAAGUAGAGUCAGCCCUGGUUAAUACUUGGAUGAAAACCACCAAUGAAUAUCAGGUCCUGUAAGUU
rnacentral:rRNA from 1 species